rnacentral:rRNA from 1 species
UGCCUCAGUACGGCGAGUGAGCGGCAAAGCUCAAAUUUGAAAUCUAGCACUUUCAGUGUUCGAGUUGUAAUUUGAAGAAGGUAACUUUGGUUUUGGCUCUUGUCUAUGUUCCUUGGAACAGGACGUCACAGAGGGUGAGAAUCCCGUGCGAUGAGAUGCCCAAUUCCAUGUAAAGUGCUUUCGAAGAGUCGAGUUGUUUGGGAAUGCAGCUCUAAGUGGGUGGUAAAUUCCAUCUAAAGCUAAAUAUUGGCGAGAGACCGAUAGCGAACAAGUACAGUGAUGGAAAGAUGAAAAGAACUUUGAAAAGAGAGUGAAAAAGUACGUGAAAUUGUUGAAAGGGAAGGGCUUGAGAUCAGACUUGGUAUUUUGCGUUCCCUUCCUUUUUGGUUGGGUUCCUCGCAGUUUACUGGGCCAGCAUCGGUUUGGAUGGUAGGAUAAUGACAUUGGAAUGUAGCUUUACUUCGGUGAAGUGUUAUAGACUUUGUUGAUACUGCCUAUCUAGACCGAGGACUGCGUCUUUGACUAGGAUGCUGGCGUAAUGAUCUUAAGCCGCCCGUCUU